rnacentral:tRNA from 1 species
GCCCGAGUGGUGAAAUCGGUAGACACAAGGGACUUAAAAUCCCUCGCCGCAAGGCGUGCCGGUUCGAUUCCGGCCUCGGGCACCA